rnacentral:lncRNA from 1 species
GUGGAUUACAGUUGGAUUGUUUUCCGGGCUCACAAUCCAAAAACCUUUGUUGGUUUUGCGGGCUCACCAACGAACCUAUACACUUGGUUUUCCGGGUUCACCAAAAACCUUUGUUGGUUUUACGGGCUCACCAACGAACCUAUAUUGGUUUUACGGGCUCACCAACGAACCUUUACACUUUGGUUUUCCGGGCUCACCAAAAACCUAUGUUGGUUUUAUGGGCUCACCAACGAACCUUUACAAAGUGUUUAACAAAUAAAAAGAAAAGAUUCAAACUCCUAAAUGAGCAUAUAAAACAAUAUGAACUACAAAGAAGAGUUAGAAAGUAUUUAUCGCUUUGAAGUGGCUUUGCUCUUCUUUGUCAAGGAUGCUUCACUCUUCAAGGAAGGAUGGAGCUCUUGAUGCCUCUUUGAAACUGCUCAAUCCCUUUCUUUGAUUGUUGAAUGAAGCUCUUGAUGAAGCUUGCCUUGCUAGGGUUCUCUCUUGAAUGCACUUGAUGUAUUUUCCCAAAAGCUUACUUCCUCUGAUGAAUACUCC